UACGAAGGGGCUAGCGUUGCUCGGAAUCACUGGGCGUAAAGGGUGCGUAGGCGGGUCUUUAAGUCAGGGGUGAAAUCCUGGAGCUCAACUCCAGAACUGCCUUUGAUACUGAAGAUCUUGAGUUCGGGAGAGGUGAGUGGAACUGCGAGUGUAGAGGUGAAAUUCGUAGAUAUUCGCAAGAACACCAGUGGCGAAGGCGGCUCACUGGCCCGAGUACUGACGCUGAGGCACGAAAGCGUGGGGAGCAACAGG
rnacentral:rRNA from 1 species